rnacentral:rRNA from 1 species
UCCCAGCAGUCCAAGUCGCAGCCACAAUUAUUGGGGUCUAAAACAUCCGUAGCUUGUUUUGUAAGUCUUUUGUGAAAUCCCAUAUCUCAAGUAUGGGGCCUGCAAGAGAUACUGCAAAACUAGAGACCAGAAGACGUAAGGAGUACAUUUAAGGUAGUAGUAAAAUAUGUUGAUCUUAAAUGGACUAACAAUAGCGAAGGCACCUUAUGAGUAUGGAUCUGACAGUGAGGGAUGAAGGCUAGGGUCGCGAAAGGGAUUAGAUACCCCUGUAGUCCUAGCAGUAAACACUGCACACUAAACAUCGGUAUCUCCUCGGGAGACAUCGGUGCUGUAGGGAAGCCGUAGAGUGUGCUACCUGGGAAGUAUAGUCGCAAGACCGAAACUUAAAGGAAUUGGCGGGGGGGCACUACAACAGGUGACGCGUGCGGUUCAAUUAGAUUCUACACCGUGAACCUCACCAGGAGCGACAGCAGAAUGAAGGUCAGUCUGAAGGGCUUACCUGACACGCUGAGAGGAGUUGCAUGGCCGACGUCAGCCUGUGUCGUGAGAUGACCUGUUAAAUCAGGUAACAGGCGAGACCCAUGUGUAUAGUUGCCAGUAAUAUGUGCACACUAUACAGACUGCCGUGGUAACACGGAGGAAGGUGUGGGCUACGUUAGGUGAGUACGGCCCGAAUCCCCUGGGCUACACGCGCGCGUCAAUGCUAGAUUCAGUGGGCUGCAACUCUGAAAAGAGAAGCUAAUCCUUAAUAUCUAGCUCAGUUUAGAUUGAAGCUUGAAACCCAGCUUCAUGACACCGGAAUCUGUGGUAAUCGUUCUUUAUCAGAGAACGUUGAAUGAGUCCCUGCUCCU